rnacentral:rRNA from 1 species
ACAGCAGCAGCUGCGGUAAUACAGAGGGUGCGAGCGUUAAUCGGAUUUACUGGGCGUAAAGCGUGCGUAGGCGGCUUUUUAAGUCGGAUGUGAAAUCCCUGAGCUUAACUUAGGAAUUGCAUUCGAUACUGGGAAGCUAGAGUAUGGGAGAGGAUGGUAGAAUUCCAGGUGUAGCGGUGAAAUGCGUAGAGAUCUGGAGGAAUACCGAUGGCGAAGGCAGCCAUCUGGCCUAAUACUGACGCUGAGGUACGAAAGCAUGGGGAGCAAACAGGAUUAGAUACCCCCGUAGUCCCUGUCUCUUAUAA